rnacentral:rRNA from 1 species
GGUGAACGCUGGCGGCGUGCCUAAUACAUGCAAGUCGAGCGAACGGACGAGAAGCUUGCUUUUCUGAUGUUAGCGGCGGACGGGUGAGUAACACGUGGAUAACCUACCUAUAAGACUGGGAUAACUUCGGGAAACCGGAGCUAAUACCGGAUAAUAUUUUGAACCGCAUGGUUCAAAAGUGAAAGACGGUCUUGCUGUCACUUAUAGAUGGAUCCGCGCUGCAUUAGCUAGUUGGUAAGGUAACGGCUUACCAAGGCAACGAUGCAUAGCCGACCUGAGAGGGUGAUCGGCCACACUGGAACUGAGACACGGUCCAGACUCCUACGGGAGGCAGCAGUAGGGAAUCUUCCGCAAUGGGCGAAAGCCUGACGGAGCAACGCCGCGUGAGUGAUGAAGGUCUUCGGAUCGUAAAACUCUGUUAUUAGGGAAGAACAUAUGUGUAAGUAACUGUGCACAUCUUGACGGUACCUAAUCAGAAAGCCACGGCUAACUACGUGCCAGCAGCCGCGGUAAUACGUAGGUGGCAAGCGUUAUCCGGAAUUAUUGGGCGUAAAGCGCGCGUAGGCGGUUUUUUAAGUCUGAUGUGAAAGCCCACGGCUCAACCGUGGAGGGUCAUUGGAAACUGGAAAACUUGAGUGCAGAAGAGGAAAGUGGAAUUCCAUGUGUAGCGGUGAAAUGCGCAGAGAUAUGGAGGAACACCAGUGGCGAAGGCGACUUUCUGGUCUGUAACUGACGCUGAUGUGCGAAAGCGUGGGGAUCAAACAGGAUUAGAUACCCUGGUAGUCCACGCCGUAAACGAUGAGUGCUAAGUGUUAGGGGGUUUCCGCCCCUUAGUGCUGCAGCUAACGCAUUAAGCACUCCGCCUGGGGAGUACGACCGCAAGGUUGAAACUCAAAGGAAUUGACGGGGACCCGCACAAGCGGUGGAGCAUGUGGUUUAAUUCGAAGCAACGCGAAGAACCUUACCAAAUCUUGACAUCCUUUGACAACUCUAGAGAUAGAGCCUUCCCCUUCGGGGGACAAAGUGACAGGUGGUGCAUGGUUGUCGUCAGCUCGUGUCGUGAGAUGUUGGGUUAAGUCCCGCAACGAGCGCAACCCUUAAGCUUAGUUGCCAUCAUUAAGUUGGGCACUCUAAGUUGACUGCCGGUGACAAACCGGAGGAAGGUGGGGAUGACGUCAAAUCAUCAUGCCCCUUAUGAUUUGGGCUACACACGUGCUACAAUGGACAAUACAAAGGGCAGCGAAACCGCGAGGUCAAGCAAAUCCCAUAAAGUUGUUCUCAGUUCGGAUUGUAGUCUGCAACUCGACUACAUGAAGCUGGAAUCGCUAGUAAUCGUAGAUCAGCAUGCUACGGUGAAUACGUUCCCGGGUCU